rnacentral:rRNA from 1 species
CACGUAGGGGGCAAGCGUUGUCCGGAUUUAUUGGGCGUAAAGAGCUCGUAGGCGGCUUAGUAAGUCGGGUGUGAAACCUCCAGGCUCAACCUGGAGACGCCACCCGAUACUGCUGUGGCUAGAGUCCGGUAGGGGAGCGUGGAAUUCCCGGUGUAGCGGUGAAAUGCGCAGAUAUCGGGAAGAACACCCGUGGCGAAGGCGGCUCUCUGGGACGGUACUGACGCUGAGACGCGAAAGCGUGGGGAGCGAACAGG